AUGAACGCUGGCGGCGUGCCUAAUACAUGCAAGUCGAGCGAAUUGUUGAGUUUACUCAACAAUUAGCGGCGGACGGGUGAGUAACACGUGGGCAACCUGCCUAUAAGACUGGGAUAACUUCGGGAAACCGGAGCUAAUACCGGAUAUGUUCUUCUCUCGCAUGAGAGAAGAUGGAAAGACGGUCUCGGCUGUCACUUAUAGAUGGGCCCGCGGCGCAUUAGCUAGUUGGUGAGGUAAUGGCUCACCAAGGCAACGAUGCGUAGCCG
rnacentral:rRNA from 1 species